rnacentral:snoRNA from 1 species
UGGCAGUGAUGUAUGAAUUUCUUCACCUGAAAUGACUGUGGAGAGUAAAAUCCGAGCUUUUUAACACUGAGCCAC